rnacentral:lncRNA from 1 species
AGCACAGGUGAGACGUGGUCUUGUAACACAGUGGUUAAGAAUGUGACUUUGGAGCCAGCCUGCUAGGGGCUGAAUUCUGACUCAGCCAUUUACUAACUGUGUGACCUUAGGUCACAGAAUUUUCCACACUCCUUGACAGAGGUGCUUAACCCUUAUCCAUCAGCAUUCUCAGACAGCACCUCCGGUUAGGGACAGUAUCUGACCGUCCGACAUCCCUGCAGCCCCCAUGUGUCACACAGACUCAGCCUCAGGUAGAUGGUUUCCGUAGAUGGUGGCUUUCUUUGGACCCUUGACAUCAACCAGUUACUAUUUGACUCUUCUGCAGAACCCCAUGUUGACCCCUGCUUUGAGGUGGCAGAGUUAACACUACUCUUCGUUAUAAGCUCUCGUCUGGGGCAACUCAGAAGAACCCAGAGACAGACUCCCAGACUCGGCCAGAGGCUGAUGCCAACUCCUUCCAGCUCUCACGGUAACCAUGAGGCCCCUGCGUGUUUCUGUUGUGGAGGUCCCAGAGGGAACUGUAUGGACAGACACAGCCCGAAGGGCCAUCUGCCUCAAGCCACAGC